GCAAGUCGAGCGGUAACAGAAAUUAGCUUGCUAAUUUGCUGACGAGCGGCGGACGGGUGAGUAAUGCCUGGGAAUAUGCCUUGAUGUGGGGGAUAACUAUUGGAAACGAUAGCUAAUACCGCAUAAUGUCUUCGGACCAAAGAGGGGGAUCUUCGGACCUCUCGCGUCAAGAUUAGCCCAGGUGAGAUUAGCUAGUUGGUGGGGUAAGAGCUCACCAAGGCGACGAUCUCUAGCUGGUCUGAGAGGAUGAUCAGCCACACUGGAACUGAGACACGGUCCAGACUCCUACGGGAGGCAGCAGUGGGGAAUAUUGCACAAUGGGCGAAAGCCUGAUGCAGCCAUGCCGCGUGUAUGAAGAAGGCCUUCGGGUUGUAAAGUACUUUCAGUCGUGAGGAAGGGUGUGUAGUUAAUAGCUGCAUAUCUUGACGUUAGCGACAGAAGAAGCACCGGCUAACUCCGUGCCAGCAGCCGCGGUAAUACGGAGGGUGCGAGCGUUAAUCGGAAUUACUGGGCGUAAAGCGCAUGCAGGUGGUUCAUUAAGUCAGAUGUGAAAGCC
rnacentral:rRNA from 1 species